UACAGAGGGGGGCAAGCGUUGUUCGGAAUUACUGGGCGUAAAGGGCGCGUAGGUGGCCUUCUAAGUUGAACGUGAAAUCCCUGGGCUCAACCCAGGAACUGCGUCCAAGACUGGGAGGCUUGAAUCCGGGAGAGGGAUGCGGAAUUCCAGGUGUAGCGGUGAAAUGCGUAGAUAUCUGGAGGAACACCGGUGGCGAAGGCGGCAUCCUGGACCGAGAUUGACGCUGAACGGCGAAAGCUAGGGGAGCAAACGGG
rnacentral:rRNA from 1 species